rnacentral:rRNA from 1 species
UACGUAGGUGACCAGCGUUGUCCGGAUUUACUGGGCGUAAAGAGCGCGCAGGCGGUCGGAUUAGUCGCGUGUGAAAGCCCCCGGCUCAACUGGGGAGGGUCACGCGAUACUGUUCGACUCGAAGGCAGGAGAGGGAAGUGGAAUUCCCGGUGUAGUGGUGAAAUGCGUAGAUAUCGGGAGGAACACCAGUGGCGAAGGCGACUUCCUGGCCUGUUCUUGACGCUGAGGCGCGAAAGCUAGGGUAGCAAACGGG